rnacentral:rRNA from 1 species
CCUACGGGAGGCAGCAGUGGGGUAUAUUGGACAAUGGGGGGAACCCUGAUCCAGCCAUGCCGCGUGUGUGAAGAAGGCCCUCGGGUUGUAAAGCACUUUCAGUGAGGAAGAACGCCUGGUGGUUAAUACCCAUCAGGAAAGACAUCACUCACAGAAGAAGCACCGGCUAACUCCGUGCCAGCAGCCGCGGUAAUACGGAGGGUGCGAGCGUUAAUCGGAAUUACUGGGCGUAAAGCGCGCGUAGGUGGCUUGAUAAGCCGGUUGUGAAAGCCCCGGGCUCAACCUGGGAACGGCAUCCGGAACUGUCAAGCUAGAGUGCAGGAGAGGAAGGUAGAAUUCCCGGUGUAGCGGUGAAAUGCGUAGAGAUCGGGAGGAAUACCAGUGGCGAAGGCGGCCUUCUGGACUGACACUGACACUGAGGUGCGAAAGCGUGGGUAGCAAACAGGAUUAGAUACCCCUGUAGUC